rnacentral:rRNA from 1 species
GAGACUCUGUGCGCGUGCAUAUCAAUAAGCGGAGGAAAAGAAACUAACAAGGAUUCCCCUAGUAACGGCGAGUGAAGCGGGAAGAGCUCAAAUUUGAAAUCUUAAAGGGUUUCCCUUUACGAAUUGUAGUUUAAAGAAGUGUUUUCCGUUGGAGUUUCGGUAAAAGUUCUUUGGAAUAGGACAUCAUAGAGGGUGAGAAUCCCGUAUUUGACCGUUACUUUCCAGCUGUGUGAUACACUUUCAAAGAGUCGGAUUGUUUGGGAAUGCAGUCCAAAAUGGGUGGUAAAUUUCAUCUAAAGCUAAAUACUGGCGAGAGACCGAUAGCGAACAAGUACCGUGAGGGAAAGAUGAAAAGAACUUUGAAAAGAGAGUUAAACAGUACGUGAAAUUGUCAAAAGGGAAGCGUUUGACACCAGUGUUGUUUUCUCGAAAAUCAAUUAAAAAUGGCGGGAUGUUGUGUUGUAUUGACUUUAUCAGCUUUCUGCACUCUUUUUCCUGUCUUUUUUAAUGCACUUUUCGUUUAACAAGUCAACAUCAAUUUCUUUUGCUGUAAAAGAGUCAUUGGAAGGUGGCUUUCUUUUCGGAGAAAGUGUUUAUAGCCUUUGGCCUCUGCAGUCGGAGAGAUUGAGGUCUGCAGCGUAGAUCCUUCGGGGUUAGAUACAUUUGUGCUAAGUUAUAGCCUUUCAUAGACAACUUGUUGACUAUGAUCAGUCAUGUAGCUUACUCGCUUAUGCUAUUUUACCUACGCUUAGGAUGUUGAUCUGUAGUGCGUGCGC